ensembl:snRNA U1 U1 spliceosomal RNA
AUACUUACCUGGCAGGGGAGAUACCAUGAUCACGAAGGUGGUUUUUCCAGGGUGAGACUUACCCAUUGUACUCUGGAUAUGCUGUCCCCUGAGAUUUCCCCAAAUGAGGGAAACUUGACUGCAUAAUUUGUGGUAGUGGGGGACUGCAUUCACGCUCUCCCCUA